rnacentral:rRNA from 1 species
UUGCAUUACACGAGAGUGUGACAGGGCUAUCCCGAGUGCCAUCCGCUGAGGAAGGCUUUUACCCAGUCUAGAACGCUGGGGGAAUAAGGAGAGGGCAAGUCUGGUGUCAGCCGCCGCUGUAAUACCAGCUCUCCGAGUGGUGUGGAUGUUUAUUGGGCCUAAAGCAUCCGUAGCUGGCUGAGUUAGUCCCUUGUUAAAUCCACCGAAUUAAUCGUUGGAUUGCGGAGGAUACUGCUCGGCUAGGGGACGAGAGAGGCAGACGGUAUUUCUGGGGUAGGGGUGAAAUCCUAUAAUCCCAGGAGGACCACCAGUGGCGAAGGCUGCCGGCUAGAACGCGCCCGGCGGUGAGGGAUGAAAGCUGGGGGAGCGAACCGG